rnacentral:rRNA from 1 species
GACGUAGGGCGCGAGCGUUGUCCGGAUUUAUUGGGCGUAAAGAGCUCGUAGGCGGCUCGUUGCGUCGGCUGUGAAAACCCGCAGCUCAACUGUGGGCUUGCAGCCGAUACGGGCGGGCUUGAGUUCGGUAGGGGAGACUGGAAUUCCUGGUGUAGCGGUGAAAUGCGCAGAUAUCAGGAGGAACACCGGUGGCUAAGGCGGCAUCCUGGACCGAUACUGACGCUGAGGAGCGAAAGUGUGGGGAGCGAACAGG